rnacentral:lncRNA from 1 species
AAAACACAACCCCCACGAGAGGUCAAGAGGGCAGCGAAAAAAAAGUCCUGACACCAUCAUCCUUUGGAAAGAUCCCCAUGUGAGUUGUAAAUACAAGCUCUGUUUCUCUGCAUCUCCCAAGCUCACGAUUCACAGACUGCUCGGAAAUUGGAUAAAUCAACUUGCUUCAGGAAUUUUACUUGGCUGGUACUGCCCUUCACGCCUCUCUGCUCUUCCUGGGGUGACUGCCACGUCUGUGUGACCCCUUCAGAGGGAAUAAAUCCUCACCACGGCUCGCCCCGAGGCCUCCCUGGGAUCCUGGACCAUCCUGUUCCUGUCCUUGGCAAGAGCAGGGACCGAGCUGCCUGCUGAGCCAGGACAGGGCUGUUCCAAGGGGAACACCGUGAAAUCACAGGGAAGGAGCAAUUUGCAAGUAAUUUUCAGUUUCCACUAAUUUAGGAAGCAAAGGGGAAGGAGGGGGUUGUGUGAUGGGACUCUGAUGAA